GCAGACACAUUCCAGCCAAUCAGCAGCAGACCCUCCCUCCCAGACCCUCCCACCUCCUGGACAGCAUCCAUUUUACAUUCAUUGUGAAGCUGCAUUCUUAGUGAGCUGUCCAGGAAGUGGGAGGGUCUGGGAGGGAGGGUCUGCUGCUAAUUGGCUGGAAUGUGUCUG